rnacentral:rRNA from 1 species
AUGGGCUCCGACGGCGCCAUCACGCACCGCAGCGUCGACGUCAACGGCGUGCGCCUCCACGUCGCGGAGGCCGGCCCGGCGGGCGCGCCCACGGCGCUGCUGCUGCACGGGUUCCCGGAGGUGUGGUACACCUGGCGCCACCAGAUGCGCGCGCUGGCCGCGGCGGGCUACCGCGCCGUCGCGCCCGACAUGCGUGGCUACGGCGGCUCCGACGCGCCCUCUGGCGGACCGGACCAGUACACGGCGCUGCACGUCGUCGGCGACCUCGUCGCGCUCAUCGAUUCGCUCGGCGAGAAGCAGGUCUUCGUGGUGGCGCACGACUGGGGCGCCAUGAUCGCGUGGAGCCUGUGCCUGUUCCGGCCGGACAGGGUGAAGGCGCUCGUCGCCCUCAGCGUCCCCUUCACCCCGCGGAGCCCGGCGAGGAAGCCCGUCGACGGCUUGAAGGCUCUGUACGGGGACGAGUACUACAUCUGCCGUAUCCAGGAACCUGGAGCAAUUGAAGCAGAAUUCGCACGGCUCGGCACAGAGCUGGUGCUAAGAAAGUUUUUCACUUAUCGAACUCCUGGCCCUUUGUUCAUUCCCAAGAGCGGGUGGGGCUCACCAGAUGAUGAGGUGCCCUUGCCGAGCUGGAUCACGGAGGAGGAUAUCAAGUACUACGCGAGUCAAUUUGACAAGUCUGGUUUCACCGGGGGAUUGAACUACUACCGUGCCUUGAACAAGACAUUGGAGCUAACGUCGCCAUGGACCGGAGCUGAGAUAAAGGUACCAACCAAGUUUAUAGUUGGUGAUGUGGACUUGUCAUACCAUGUUGCAGGCGCACAUGAUUUUAUUAACAAAGGUGGCCUCAAGAAGUUUGUUCCAUUACUGGACGAUGUGGUGGUAAUGAAAGAUGUCGGGCAUUUCAUAAAUGAAGAAAAACCAGAAGAAAUUAGUGCCCAUAUAAUCAGUUUCUUAAAGAAAUUUGACUGA